AUGCCACCUUCCGUGCACGACACGGAAGGCCUGCCGUUCAUGAAGCAUGGUUGUGUCUUCAGUGCGCACCGCCGGAUGAACGACAUGCCGGGACACGCUAUCCCUGAUUUAUGCCGCUUCAGCUUGGAUGAGUCUCCAUCAUGUGGAACCGGACUAGAAAGCUGCGACAAUGAUUCCCGUUGCCCACCGCUAUGGAUCGUGCCAUCCAUGAAGAACACCUGGGACUGGAACCUGGAGGAGGACAUCAGACGCAAAUGCGCUGGCCUUCAUGAUUCCAGGACCUGGAAUCAUACCAGCCGAUGGUACCAUAUAACUGGAAUUAACCCAUGCAAGUCGAAGAAGGAUUGGCCGGUGCUGCCGGCUGGUGUCAAGUUCGAUCCCACGGAUCAGGAGCUGAUCGAGCACCUUGAGGCCAAAUUGAGUGCUGACAACGUGAGAUCUCACCCUCUCAUUGAUUUGUUCAUACCAACCAUCGACAGCGAGCACGGCAUAUGCUACACCCAUCCUGAGAAACUUCCAGAUGUUACGAAAAUGCCAACUACGUACACUAAAACCUGUAUUCGACAAUACUGCAGGUAUCACACUGAGUGGCCUAAGGAAGAUUUCUUCCAGCACAAUUCCAAGGCGUUCAAAAGGGGCACGUGGACGCGUCGCAAGAUACAGUCGGAGUGCGGCAUGCACGCGAUGUGGCACAACACCGGCAAUACCUUGCCGGUGAUGGUCAACAGCCGGCAGACGGGCAGCAAAAAGGUUCUGGUGCUGCACACCAACAAGAACUUCGACCAGCAGAGGACCAACUGGGUGAUGCACCAGUACCACCUCGGGACCUGGAGCAAGAGAAGGAGCGGGAGCUGGUCCUCUGCAAGAUUUUCUACCAGACGAACACUAGGGCCAGGAGUAAAAAGAUUAUAA
rnacentral:rRNA from 1 species